CCAAUCAUUAAAACUUUCAACAACGGAUCUCUUGGUUCCCACAUCGAUGAAGAACGCAGCGAAAUGCGAUAAGUAAUGUGAAUUGCAGAAUUCCGUGAACCAUCGAAUCUUUGAACGCACAUUGCGCCCCCUGGUAUUCCGGGGGGCAUGCCUGUCCGAGCGUCAUUGCAACCCUCAAGCGCGGCU
rnacentral:rRNA from 1 species